AACGAACGCUGGCGGCAUGCCUAACACAUGCAAGUCGAACGAGACCUUCGGGUCUAGUGGCGCACGGGUGCGUAACGCGUGGGAACCUGCCCUUAGGUUCGGAAUAACUCCCCGAAAGGGGUGCUAAUACCGGAUAAUGUCUUCGGACCCAAGAUUUAUCGCCUUUGGAUGGGCCCGCGUUGGAUUAGCUAGUUGGUAGGGUAAAAGCCUACCAAGGCGACGAUCCAUAGCUGGUCUGAGAGGAUGAUCAGCCACACUGGGACUGAGACACGGCCCAGACUCCUACUGGAGGCAGCAGUGGGGAAUAGUGGACAACGGCCGAAAGCCUGAUCCAGCAAUGCCGCGUGAGUGAUGAAGGCCUUAGGGUUGUAAAGCUCUUUUACCCGGGAUGAUAAUGACAGUACCGUGAGAAUAAGCUCCGGCUAACUCCGUG
rnacentral:rRNA from 1 species